UUGCCGCUAUCUAAAUAGAGCAGCCUUGCUCUGUGCAUGCAGUGCAGCGAGGCUAGUCCUGAUAACUAUUCCCCACCGAAACGGCCAUAUCCUCUAUGUGACUACUGAAUUGGAGGAUUUGGCCUGUAUUAGCCCUCAAACAGUAAACCGUAUCCAGGGAAUUUAAAAGCAAAAGGGAUUAGUUUGCUGGCUUGUGGAAGGAGGAGACGGAGGGCUGGUUUAUUUGGAAAAGGACAAUAUUUGCAGGUGUGCAAAGAGCUGACUCUGGGUUCGGAAAACACCAUCCGACUGCGAUGACACAAUUGGCCGUCUGAGAAAGAACAUCUUGCUGAAAUUCAAGGGAACAGCUUUCCAGCUUUAAUCCUCCAAGAUGAUGCAGAAGCAGCAGACCCGCACUUCCCCCGGCAGUGUGAGUUCCUCCCGGGGGCCCAGUGUCCCUGGCUCCCCUGCUGUCACCAUUGUGGCAAAAAUGGACAAUCAGGUCAUAGGAUACAAGGAUUUGGCUGCCAUCCCCAAAGACAAAGCUAUACUCGACAUUGAACGGCCGGAUUUAAUGAUGUACGAACCCCAUUUCAACUACUCCUCUCUGGAAAGAUCUGAGCUGCCCAGGAGCCGAGAGAGAUCAAUGUCGCCCCGCUCCAUCUCACCCCCACCCUCCCCUGAGACUUGUGCCAGCAAGGAGCCCAAGGAGUGGCCAGAGCAGAAGUCUCCGGGGGGUUCCUCACUAGGGGGAUCCACAGUUCAAUCCCGCAAGAUCAGCACCUCUGCCAAGGGCCCCAUGCAGCACUUUCAUAGGCCAGACAACGGUACCAACAUUUAUAAAAAGCGACCAAUUUACAAACAAGAUGUCUCUGCGUCAGUCCCGCACAGCAAACACAUAGAAGAUCUGAUCAUCGAGUCUUCCAAGUUUCCUGCUGCCCAGCCGCCUGAUCCCAACCAGCCCUCUAAGAUCGAGACUGACUAUUGGCCCUGCCCGCCCUCCCUGGCUGUCGUAGAGACGGAGUGGAGGAAGAAAGCCGCCUCGCAGAGGAAAGCAGAAGGGGGUGACAACGAGGAGGAUGAAGAGUAUGAUGACGGAGAUCUGUCUGAGGACAUGAUGAGGUUGAGGCAGCUUCAGAGACAGGAGCUCAACAAGAUCCAGUCCAACCUGGGGAAAUUGAUCCUGAAGGAGGAAAUAGAGAAAUCGGACCCCAUUCGCAGGAAAACCCGCUCACUGCCAGACAGAACACCCAUGCACCUGGGAUCGUCUUCAAGGGCCUCCAAAUCCGUCUCUCUCCCAGCAUGCAGCAGGACCGGACUCAGCAGGCUCCAGUCUGCUGAGUUCUCUCCAGACAGUGACAAGGGAGGGACAGGUCUCCAGGUAGGAGAGCUCAUACAAGAACAGUAUAUACACAAAUGGAGAGGCUCAGAGAGGGAGGAUGGACAGAGGAAACUCACUGCCCAGUAUGUUGGAACAGAAGAUAUACCCCUAUGAAAUGCUCAUCGUCACCCACAGAGGCAGAAGCAAACUCCCACCGGGGGUUGACAGGAUGCGGCUGGAGAAGCACCUGGCUCCAGAGGAAUUUCAGCACUUAUUUGGAAUGCCCAUCGAGGAAUUCGAUCAGCUCUCUCUCUGGAAACGCAACGACCUGAAAAAGAAGGUCUCUCUCUUUUAGUGGGACGCAAGCCACUGCACUCCCUGGGAAGCGAGGCAAAUGUGUAUACAUUCAAGAAAACAAAAUGAAACAGAUCACAGGCAAAAUUCUAGGAAAGGACAGGACUAGGAAAGCUCUUUGAUUGGCACAGCUGCACUGUGUCAGACCCGAAGAAACUCUCGUCCCUGACCGUAUUUAUAUAGAAAUCACCUAUCAACAGUCUUAUCACUGGUCAAAGCCUCCAUAUCUUCUUUCUCUCUCCAAUUGCAGCUGCAAAGUGGGAGCAUAUGGGAAUAAUGACAAAUAGCUUGCAGAGAUAGCUUUUCUUCUGUGAGAUGUCCAUAUGGACAUGCUCAAAGAGCUAUAGUCGAGUGAGUCAGUUCUGGCUACUUCCCUCUGGGAAGGUAGAACUUAUUGAGUUUAGUAUUUCCUGAAGCGAAACACAUUACUCAGUUCACACUUAACAUGCAAACACUGCCACAAAUAGUUUGGCUAUGGAGAUUAUUGACUUCACUGUCAAAAUGUCUAGUUUAGCAACUACAACUUAGUAGCGUGUCAGCUAAAAAAUAAGCAGUAUGAUUCUGUCACUGAGACUGAACUACCAGCAGAAAGGAUGGUCUUAUAACUUUUUCUGCGCUGUUUUCCGUGGAUUUUGAAGUAGUUUGGAAAAAUUCAUUUCGGUUUAUUAAAUUAAUACUUUUUAUCAUUUUCUUAUGAUUAUUUACCAAAAUGUCUUUAAAUGGAAGGGAACAGUUCCAUUGAACUGUUAUUUUCAAUAAUCCAGAAAUCACGUGUGGUGACAGAAGGCUUUUAGAUAAAAGUGACUUUUUAGUGUCACUGCUUUCGGCAAGUUUAUAUAUGUUACACUUCCCCCUGUAUUUCCUCUAACCUGGAAUGAGCAGCUCAGUGUAAACAUAGGUUUCAUCUCUUCCCUCUCUUUUUGUCUCAGUCUUGCUGCUAUCAUGUUUUCAAGCACCUUUGAGGUUUCGUUUGUGUUUAACAAGAGCAGUAUUCCUGUUUUAUAGGAUAAAUUAUGAAGUGAAUAUUAAUUUACAUCUACAAAAAAUUUCCCUGUUUUUCCACUGCCAAUUAUGGUUUCAGUGAACCCAGGCUCCUGAUAUUAAUAUAUCUGAAAUGUAUAGUUUUUGGCAUUCUUCUGCUAUGGUUUCACAUAAAAAACAAAUGAUGUGCAACAUUUGUUUUUGGGCAAAGUAUAUUAGUACUACCUAGGUUGUGGCAUGACUUUCCAAGAGGUGAAUUGCAUUCUUCUUACAAGCAUAUAUAUCAAUAUAAGAAUGUAGAGUAAGUAAACAUCUUGUCUUCAUUAGUAUAAGUGAAUAAGAUGAAAAAGCCUGAUGAUAAUGGGGUGGCCCUGUGCCCUCCUUGCUGAGGGCGUGGCAGAACCACAGACACUGACUGUGAUAUGAAGGCCCGUGCAGGGGGUCACUGUGAGGAGGCACCGCGACAGGUGUGUGACAAGGAAGGUCACGGCCAUCUUGGCUCCGUGACCCCUUAGCGCCACACGGCUCUCCGAUGCAGACGGGCGGCCCUCCGCGGCUUAUGCCACCUGUUGUGCUGAGGGUUUUUUUUUUUUUUUCUUCGCUGGGAUCGAGAGCCAGACAAAACACCACAGCAGGCGACACGCACGACAGCCGCCCGGCUUCUCGGCCCCUCUCAGGCCCUGCCGCUUGGUUCCAGCGUUUGGAAACCCGUGGAGACGCGGCUGCAGGGCUGUCAGAGCUCUUCCAGAAGACCGUAAAGUGUGAGGUGUGUUGGAGGUAUGUUGAAGAGACUGGAUGUCAGACGCAAUGGAUGCACCCUCUGGACUCCAAGCCAAUGUUCGGAUUCAGGACUCAUUUCACGCACAUCUUAUCUGUAAUUAUCUCCCGCCACAUAUCAACUUGUGAUAACUUUUCAGGUUUUUUUUAUUUUAUUUUAUUUUAUUUUAUUUUUUGGCGCCUCGCUAAAAGUCAGCGAUGUAUUUGUUCUCAGCAACAUGGUCUCAGUUUGCAAGUUGGAGAUAAUGUUAAUUGGACAUUUUAACCCACGUCAUAAUGCUCUCACUUUGUUUCCCCUCCCUGCACCGAUGUUACGCCUGUGAUCAUGGUCGUUUUUUGUCAUCUGCUAGCAACCCCUUAUUAUUCGUCAUUCCACCUGAUUCUCAGUAGGUCAUUGUCACACAUUUCAAUGCACAAUCAGGCUUUCUGCCAUGGCUGACAGAGGGCAUUAGUUACAGUACUUGUUGCAGCAGCUUCAUUUUCAACUUCUAAUUUUUUUAUGUGAAAGUGUGUUGAAAAUAAAAUAAAAAUAAUUAUUGAAUUUA